CAGAACACAUUCAACUGUAUUUUUCCUCCUUCUGCAGACUCAACAGAUAACACCACAAUUGGCCCUCCAAGUCCUUUUACAGUUUGAUAAAGCUAUCAACACAGCACUGGCCAACCGGGUCCGCAACAGGGUCAAUUUUAGGGGAUCUCUGAACACGUACAGAUUCUGUGAUAACGUUUGGACAUUUGUUUUAAAUGACGUUGAGUUCCGGGAGGUGACAGAUUUGGUCAAAGUGGACAAAGUAAAAAUUGUAGCAUGUGAUGGCAAAAACACUGGGUCUAAUGCACCUGAGUGAAAUCAAGGUGGAGAGAGAAGGGAACUGAAUUUGCUGGCUGAUGGGAAGGACGAGAAGAAUUGAAGAUGAGGCACACAGUGGUGGGGACUGUGUAUAUAUUAUUUAUUACAGGAAACAGUUCUCCAGCCUUCAUACAUCAACCUGCUCAGUGGAGGACUGGCAAACGUAUGGAGCACACAAGGCCUUGGAUGUCACAUGAAAUUUUUCUUGUUAUAAAUAAAUAUAUAUAAUUUUCAUAGAAAUGGCAAUGCUUUUCAGUUUGU